ACAUUACAUUUUGAGAGGGUUAAAACCCUGCCAACCUGCAUAACCUUGCGAAGGUGGUAUUAUGAUGUGGCUUAUAAGCAAAAAAAAGGUCCUUU
rnacentral:ncRNA from 10 species